AAACGGGUGAGUUUACUAUGCGUUUUGAAUGAUUUCCUCAUGUGUUAUUAUUAUUAAAAAAGGAAGGCAUAUUAAAAAUGAAAGAGCAAUCCAUUCUAUCCAAUGUUGGUCAAUAAGAUUUGAAAUAUUUCUUUAGCUAGUUUUGGCCAGAAAACUUUUAAAUGAGGGAUCUGGAGGUAUCUAGAGAGAAUGACUAGAUCCGUGGCGGAUCAGCUGCUUUGUAAACGGGUCCUGAACGGGUCUGCCCCGGAUCUGGUCCGGAUCCGCCAUCCUUAUCUGUUCUGGAUCCGGAGUCAAUUUGCUAUCUGGGAAGGAGCGUAACGUUGAAGGCGGCAUUUGAACCUGCAUCGAACACGGAGAUCCAUGUCGGAAGAUCGCGGUGAUUUCAUCGACCAAAAUAUCAAUAAUCUGAUGCAGAUGCAGGGUAACGUUACCAUCCAUUAUCACACUGCUGUUCAAGAUAAUAUCCCAGGAUGUAUGUCUCAGAAACAGACGCUUUGUGGGUAUAAACCCAGAAAAAGGGACAAAGGCUGCAAAGGGGAAAAAAGCUGAACUGUCAAUUCACACGUCACCAGCCUCUUGCGCAAGAAAAUGGACUUUCAGUGGGAUUUCAUUUGAAAAUGGUGAGUAGGAUGUAUACAUUACACAUAUGUUCAAACAGCAAUGACUAAGGGGACUGGGGAAAUUCAUUCUAAUGUUCAUUCUCAUCUGCCUUUCAAAGUGAGAAUGCUGAACUUCUCUUCUGUGCUCUUUUGCCAUUCUUUUUUUUGUUCUUUCAAUGAAUUGUGCUCAUCACACUUUCUAUUAUUUUAUGUUAUUCUGUCCGUUUUAAGCUCUGUUUCUAAAAUUAGCUUUUGUUAGGUCAAGCCAUGUGAUGUAAUUUUGGAUUGAAAUUUGAAAUUAUGGAAAUCCUAUCUCUCCCUCUCUCUCUCUCUCUCUCUCUCUCUCUUUCUCUGUCAUAUACAGACCCAAGACUUUGCAAAGGAUCCUCAUUGUGUGCUUUGAGUAAAUGGUUUGUGGUCUAAGCAGUGACAGUGUUUUUAUUGUUUAUUGCUCUUUAAUGAUGAAGAGUUCCAUUAAGUGUUAACUAUUGGUUUUAAUGUAUUCAUACAUGUUGAAUUUUAGUGGUUUAGGUAACACUGCAUAUGAAGUUCAGUAUUUUGUUAUAAUGAAAAAUGUAUUUGGGUUUAAAAAUGUAUUUGUUACUUUUUAAACCAUGAACAUGAGAAAACGAAAUUUGUUUGUGAUUAAUCUGAGCCUAUGUGUAACAUUUUUAUGUGACCAGGAGUCACAGUGUAUAUCCUUUGAGUCUUUUUAAAUGAAUUUUAGCAGUUCAAGGAACAUUAAAUGUUGAGGUUUUGGGCCCUAUCUUGCACCAACGCAGCGCAAAGCCAAACGCAAGUGUCUUUGCUAGUUUAAGACAGACGCAGUUGUUAUUUUCCGUCCAGUGACCACAGAUGUCGGCAAUGAACAUGAUAUACAGUAUAUUUUUGUGAUUGGUCUGAUCCAUGUGUGCCUACAUUUGUAAGUAUUUACCUUUCAGUGUUUGUAUUACAAUAAAAAAAAGUUAAUUUCAA